rnacentral:miRNA from 1 species
AGGAAAGUGAAGGAGGCA